rnacentral:rRNA from 1 species
UACCAGCACCCCGAGUGGUCGGGACGAUUAUUGGGCCUAAAGCAUCCGUAGCCUGUUCUACAAGUCCUCCGUUAAAUCCACCUGCUCAACAGAUGGGCUGCGGGGGAUACUAUAGGGCUAGGAGGCGGGAGAGGCAAACGGUACUCAGUGGGUAGGGGUAAAAUCCAUUGAUCUACUGAAGACCACCAGUGGCGAAGGCGGUUUGCCAUGAACGCGCUCGACGGUGAGGGAUGAAAGCUGGGGGAGCGAAACC